AAAAUUAACAUUAUCCAUCCUAAGGUGAUUUGUUACUGGUAAUUUGUAUCUUUGACAAGAUAUGAUGAGACUGUCACUGGGGUCUUCAUUCCCCAAAUUCAUAAUCCCAAUCUAAUCAUGAGGAAAACAUCAGACAAAUCCCAUUUAAGGAACACUCUUCAUGUAAUUAGCCAGUACUCAAAACAGUCAAGGUCACCAAAACCAAAAAAAGUUUGAGGAACUAUCACAGCCAAGAGGAGCCUAAGGCGGUGUGAUCAUUAAAUGCACCAUGUCCAGGAUGGGACUGUAGAUCAGAAAAAAGACAUCAGGCAAAAUUUAAGGAAACACAGCUAAAGUACAGGCUUUAGCUCAUUGAUAACGUGUCAUUGUGGGUUCAUUAAUUGUGACAUUUGUACGGCACUAAUGCAGCAUAUCACAAUAGGGGAAGCUGGUGAUGGCGUGUGUAGGAACUCUCUGUACCCUCUUUGCAACAUUUUGUGGCUAUCAAACUGUUCUGAAACUAAAAACUUCAUUGAAAAAAUGAAAGUCAUGGGAUGGUAGGCUGUUUAAGUGACAGGUGUUUCUACUUAACUUCAGUUCCGCUCCAGGGCUGUUACAGCAAGUGGUUUCAAACUUGAGUGCGUAUCGUAACCACCUGGGCAGCUUAUUAAAGAGAUUGAAAGCCCCUCCUUCCCUAGGUAAGCCUGGGGUAAGGCUUGACGAUUGUCAUCUCUAACGAGUUCCCGGGUGAUGUUUGUAGUGCGAGUCCAUGGACCAAAACCACUGCUAUUCAAAAUCAGUCCCAGAAUUCAAAGCAAGUUUUCGUUCGUGGCUCUUUGUUAGCGAGCAAGAUAAGGACUUGUGUUUCCUCCACCAGAACUGCUGCAAAUGCUCCCAAGAGCAGGAGCUCGGGUGUGAGGAGGGAGCAGCCGCGCUGCGGGGGUGGAACCACUCAGCUCAUUCACCUGCAGUGGAGGGAGCUGCUGGGAAGGAGUGAAAUAGCAGGAGCAAAAAAUAGCAGCUGUCAACAGAGGGACUGACAGCUAGGGCUGUCAAAAGUCCUCCCCCAGCCCUUCAUACCAAGCUUACCGAAUAAAAAUAAUACAGAAAGCAA